rnacentral:rRNA from 1 species
GACGAACGCUGGCGGCAGGCCUAACACAUGCAAGUCGAACGAGUGGCGGACGGGUGCGUAAUGUCUGGGAAACUGCCCGAUGGAGGGGGAUAACCACUGGAAACGUUAGCUAAUACCGCAUACCAUCGGAUGUGCCAAGAUGGGAUUAGCUAGUAGGUGGGGUAACGGCUCACCCAGGCGACGAUCCCUAGCUGGUCUGAGAGGAUGACCAGCCACACUGGAACUGAGACACGGCCCAGACUCCUACGGGAGGCAGCAGUGGGGAAUAUUGGACAAUGGGCGCAAGCCUGAUGCAGCCAUGCCGCGUGGCUGAAGAAGGCCUUCGGGUUGUAAAGUACUUUCGUCGGGGAGGCGUUACUCGCAGAAGAAGCACCGGCUAACUCCGUGCCAGCAGCCGCGGUAAUAC